GUCAUUGAUGGAUACCUGCACUGCCUCAUUAGGAAACAAAAGGCAAGUAAGAACGUAUGCCAGUUAUUUCACAAAAGCAUUUUAUACAAUUAUGUAAUCUUUUAAAAAAACCUCUUGCAUUUUUCAGGAACCCGUGUAUCAGUUGUCUUGCGUUGUUGCAACCUCUCUGUUUUCUGGGAAGUUUAAAUGUGUCACCAAGGUAAUGUAGAUGUUAUAUAGGUCAUAUAGUGCAUGUUAUGUAAAUGAAUCUAAACCUUUAUAAACUUAAAAAUAUUCCACAGAUGUUGUUUCCGGCUGAGGACAUUUGGUUGUGCCCACUGAACUUCGGUGCACACUGGAUCCUUGUGGUACAUUGUUCUUUUUAGCAGCAUAUUCUUAUUUUGAAAAUGCUUACAACUGAUUAUGUUUACUUAAGUUAGUGUACUACACAUAUUCUACUAAAUACCAUUUUUAUUUUAGGUUGUCAAACCUAUUUUAGGUUUGACAACCUAGUGUGGAAAAUGGAGACUCUGCCACACAACAAGCAGAUGGACUCCAGCAGUUGUGGAGUUUUAGUGUUGAAGGUAUUUAAUAAGCCAUUGUAUUUAAUUGUAUUUAUUGUAUUUAACUAGAAUUAAGUUAAUCAAUUGCAAUUACUGUAACAUAUUUUACAGUUUGCCGAACACUACCUUAUGAGUGGAGAGGUUACUAGGGUGCUGUCCACUCCAGAAGCCAUUGGGCUGCAACGCACAGAAAUUGCUUGCGAACUGCUAGAACAUCAAAGUAAUGCUGAUGACUACUGUGUGGUUUGUUCCAUGCUGGAAGCCGAUCCUGAGUCCAGUAUGAUUGAAAUGGUGCAGUGUGACUUUUGUCUCAGAUGGGCACAUUUUGGAUGUGCUCAAUAUGAGAGCAGCCUGGUCAAGUACUUGUGCGACAAAUGUGCAUAAUUGUUAUGAAUACUGUUUCUUUUCCACUUCUUUCUCCCUGUGUUCUGUUGGAUCUGUAAAUAUCAAAUACAUAUAUCUGUAUAUAUCUGUAAAUAUAUGCUGUCAGUCACAGUAAAGUACAAAGAGCAGCCUGGUCAAGUACUUGUGCGACAAAUGUGCAUAAUUUGUUAUGAAUACUGUUUCUUUUCCACUUCUUUCUCCCUGUGUUCUGUUGGAUCUGUAAAUAUCAAAUAUAUAUAUAUAUCUGUAAAUAUAUUCAGUAAAUAUAUACUGUAACUAUAAUGGAGUGAGUUCAUUGUCAAAGUUUAUAUAGUCAAGUGUUCCAAUCACUUCAAUGGUGACAGCUGUAUAACUUAAGCACCUUGGCAUGCAGACUGCUUCUACAAACAAGUGCCAAAACAUGCUACCUUUGUUAUUAUAAACUAGAAGCAUACUCUGACGGGAAGAAUUACGUGCCAAAACAUGCUACCUUUGUUAUUAUAAAGUAGAAGCAUACUCUGACGGGAAGAAUUACGUGCCAAAACAUGCUACCUUUGUUAUUAUAAAGUAGAAGCAUACUCUGACGGGAAGAAUUACGUGCCAAAACAUGCUACCGUUGUUAUUAUAAACUAGAAGCAUACUCUGACGGGAAGAAUUACGUGCCAAAACAUGCUACCUUUGUUAUUAUAAAGUAGAAGCAUACUCUGACGGGAAGAAUUACGUGCCAAAACAUGCUACCUUUGUUAUUAUAAAGUAGAAGCAUACUCUGACGGGAAGAAUUACGUGCCAAAACAUGCUACCUUUGUUAUUAUAAAGUAGAAGCAUACUCUGACAGGAAGAAUUACGUGCCAAAACAUGCUACCUUUGUUAUUAUAAACUAGAAGCAUACUCUGACGGGAAGAAUUACGUGCCAAAACAUGCUACCUUUGUUAUUAUAAAGUAGAAGCAUACUCUGACGGGAAGAAUUACGUGCCAAAACAUGCUACCGCUGUUAUUAUAAAGUAGAAGCAUACUCUGACGGGAAGAAUUACGUGCCAAAACAUGCUACCUUUGCUAUUAUAAAGUAGAAGCAUACUCUGACGGGAAGAAUUACGUGCCAAAACAUGCUACCUUUGUUAUUAUAAAGUAGAAGCAUACUCUGACGGGAAGAAUUACGUGCCAAAACAUGCUACCUUUGUUAUUAUAAAGUAGAAGCAUACUCUGACGGGAAGAAUUACGUGCCAAAACAUGCUACCUUUGUUAUUAUAAACUAGAAGCAUAAUUCUGACGGGAAGAAUUACGUGCCAAACCAUGCUACCUUUGUGAAUGUGACCUACAAGCACACUUUAAUGGGUAAAAAGAAGUGUCAAACCGUACUGGCUUUAUGAAUAUCAGCUACAAACAUACUCUGAUGGGCAAAGUUAAGUGGCAAACCGUCAUACCUACUUAAAUUUGUACUGGAAUUAUUGUGUGGCAGCAGAGAUGUGCAUAAAUUACGUACAGUAGGACAUUUUGCCAAAGUAGGGCAGUUUGUCAUAAGGCAGCGUAAAAUUAUCCUACUGGUAGGACGGUUUGCCAAAGUAGGACGUUUUGUCAGAGGACACCGUAAAAUUUUCCUACAGGUAGGACGUUUUGCCAAAGUAGGACGUUUUGUCAGAACACCGGCCACCCGCCUUUUGGCUCCUUGUCGCCACUCCACCAAAUAAAGGUCCGUUUCCUCCAUGCCGGCUAAUUAUUCAUCCUCAUUAAAAUCUCGUAUAUGUUCAGUUGGCAGAAUUGAGAAUUUUACAUCUUCCAACCUCCUAAUUAACGCGAACAUAAUCGGCUUGUUUCUUCCCGUCUCCUGUAUCCGGCGCCGUUCCUCUCACUGUCGGAAUUCGCGCCUCAGAGACGUCGUUAUUUUUCAAAAAAAAAAAGAAAGAAAGAAAGAAAGAAACAGCAACAACUAAUAAAGAGAGUUUUUGCACGUUCAUUGCACAUUUGUGGGAAUGUUUAAAUAUUUAAUUUUUAUUAAUUACUUUUCAUUAUAUCUUUAUUUUUUAAACCACCAUGGCAAUGCGCAUGCGCAUACUCUCCUGCACGCAAAGGGCUUUGGCGUUGACGUAAUGUCGCAAUGCAUUGUGGGAGUGCAGCACCAUCUUGGCUGGUCACGAAUCAAAACAAGAUUGCUACGAACCAUUCUGAAACGUAGCUGAAAAGAAAAAGGACAGUAUAGAGACAGAUUGUGUCCAGAUGCAAAGAGACGGUACUUGAUUGGUGAAAUGUGGACCUGUAUGGAAUAUAGCCGUGGAGUAGAAACCCUGAAGACCAAACCGCUAUUGACUUAGCAUGAUCUACUCUCAUACCUUGUCUGUGGAGUCAUGGCAUACACGGCGCACCAGUUUUGCAAUUAUAAAUCUCUGGAGGCACAUCCAAUUCACCAAGGACUGGGUACAAGAUUUGGCUAUUUUUAAGCCUCCACGUUGUGAGUACGCCGUCAUUCAAGCAAAGGUAAGUCAGCUUGAGUACUGCGAGUAAAAUGUGUUUGAUUCCCCCUGAACAUUCAGAUUAGUGCUAGCAUAAAUUCAUUCAUGAGUGGGAAAUUACAGUGAGAACAUGUAGAGGCUCUGUUAGAGCGAUAACAUAGUGAGUUCAGUGCAUUGAUGUGACGUUGUCCUGAAGGAUUUAGUUAUUCUUUAUGGUUAAAGAAAUUGCCCUAAUUAAUUCAUAUUUAUUAUAAAUAAUCCUAAUUACACAUCUUGCUUCCUUGUUUGUGUCCUGUGUCACUAAAAAUACAAUCUGUUUUAGUUUUAUACAUUGAUUAAUGACCUGCAGAAUCUCCUUAUCAUAUUAGGUGUCCAUAAUUGUCAUUUAAAGUCGAACAUUAUGUUUUCUCCCUCUUGAAAGUGAUUACAUCCUUGCAUUACAUACUUUAGGUUCAUUUUUUGCUGAUAGGUUUCUAAAAAGAAACAGGCAGAUUUAGAAUAUGACAUGCAGCGUUCUAUA
ensembl:lncRNA